GGUCUUGGGUCUUGGGUCUUGGGUCUUGGGUCUUGGGUCUAACACUGUGUGGUAAAGAGUUGCUCUACAAUGAAGACGACUGCAUGGGGUUGCUUGGGGUGCUCUCAGCCCAUGGGAAACAUCUGGAAGCUGAGUGAGAAACAUGAAAAGGAGGGGAAAAGAGGAGAAGGCAAAAAGCAGAAGGGGGGAAGGGAUCUUGGGAACACCAUAUGAUUUCACUUUCCUAAGACAACUGCAAUUAUACCUUUGAGGCUUUACCAGUCGCUGUAGAUUCAAACCAUGUUGGAUGAUGUAAGUGGGAAAAUAUGAAGGCCCUACUGGCUGCUCACAAGAAAAAAAAAGAGAGAGAAAAGGAUCCGUUUCUGGCACUUUAUUUAGUGUUAUGAAUCAGAAGAAGGGCAGCAACCAGAUGGGCUUUAUCUUUAUUGCUUUCCUAGGCUUGGAUGUGCCUUGCUGAUCCCUUAGGAAGGGGGAAGUGCCUUCUGUGGCUGCAGGAGCCCAAAGCAAACACUUUUUGCUGUUAUUUACCAUGUGAAUUGCUGUUUCCAGUUCUUUGUGCCUGUUUGGUGCUGCUUUCAGGAGCUGGGGAUGUUGGUCGAAGUGGAGCCUUGGGUCCAGUGAUGGGACAGAGCUGCUCUGAAUGGAUCAGGAUAUUACAGUCAGAUUUAAUGGGUUUUCCAUUGGAAAAAGCAGGAGGCUGCUGAGCCUUCAGCUGACCAGGGGUUAAACUGCCAUCAAAUAGGCUUGGGAGUAAUGGAAAAAAUACUGCAGCUCCCAUGGGAAGUAAUUGGGUGAGCAGAUGGAGGGGGAAGUCAAUGCCACAGGAGCCAUCCUGGGGUGAUGUGCUGGGAGAAAUGGGUGCUGAGCACAGGAAAUGCUCCAGGAGUUUGGCUGGGGAAUAAGAGAAUGAUUUCCUAAUCUUUUGGCUACUGGAGCUCAGGAAACUGAUGCUCGGCUGGAAUUUCUCAGCUCCCCAACACUGAAGGCACAGAGCCUGAGUUAAUAAAUGAGAGCGUGGAGGAAAGUAUCCAAUGUAGAAAAUGUGGGCUUUAUCAGGAGAAAUAGGGGGGAAAACCCCACAAAAACAGCUAAAGAAAAACCAAAGGGGAGCCCAGGUGGAAACCCAGGGCUGUGUCUCACUAUCCCUCCUGUAUUUGCUCCUCCAUGCCUGGCUGAUAGGCAGGAAGGUGCUGCUGAAGUUUGGCUCUCCUGAGGUUUUCCUGGCAUUGCUCCAUUGUCUUGUCAAGUUUAUUCUCCCUUGCUGUGUGAAAUGGAGCGAUCCUGGCAGGAGUUGGGCUGUGCAAGAGGGAACUGGUGAUAAAUCCAGGAGCUCAUAAAACUCAAGGAUGGGAGGGAGCCUCAGGGUCACUGCUGCUCCUCCCUGGCUCCAGCUCCAGAUCUCCUUUCUGUCUGACUUUGAGCAAGGUUUUCCUGCCUUCUCAUGGGGUCGGUGAACCCUGAGGGAUGAUAUGCGAUGGCAGUGCUCUGCCUAUCCAGCAAAGCUGUAUGAACCAGACCCAGAUUGAGCCUGUACAGCUCAUGGUCGAAAUGGACAGGAUAUGGGAGUGUGGAGAGAAAGAAAAUGACCUGCCCAAGGUCAGGGAAAGCGACUGGGUUGUCUGAGUUCCUUCAGUGUUUGAGAUGUGCUGAGGGUAAUCUCUGUGCAGCUGGAAUAGUGUCAUCAUUUGUCCUGGCUGAGCUGUAACCACAAUGGUAAUCACAGUCACAGAUACUCAGCUUUUUCUAUUAUUAAGCUAAGACAAUGUUAAAAUAUCUUCUGGGCUGGGCACUGCAUUUCAAGGGCCAUUCUUAAGGAGAAGCAGCAAAGGAUACUUGGAAAAAGCAAUGACUUUUCCAAGGAUGCCAAAGCCAUGGUUUUACUUUUACUUUGCCUGAGGCCAAGCAGUGUUACAAACUCAGUCACCGAGCUUGUGAGUUCUGCAGAGCCUUUGUAAAACAUCAUCUUCCUUCUCAAGCCCAAUUAUUUGAAAUGGGGCAUGAACUGUUACAGAGCCCAGCUCUCAUCUGGCGCUGCUUUUGGGCAGCGUUGGAGCACACCAAGGCAGCCCAGACCCAACCAGCCCACUUGGAUGUGCUUUCCCCAUGCCUUGCAGUGUGCUGUAACUACAGGAGACAGCCAGGCCCCCAUUACAGCUCACUCAAGCCAAUGCAAAUCUGUCACUGUCUCCAGCAGGCUUGUUCUUAAGGAAUUGGAUAUUUGCUGCUUUUUGGAGGGUUAUCAGUGCCAAAAUUUAGUUUCCUUCCAUGCUGGAAACAACAAAACAAAUGUUCCUGGAAAGCAAAUCCAUCAGGAUUGCAAGCAUGGGCACAGUAACAGCUGUACUGGAUUUAAGCAAAGGUAUAGAGGAGAAGUGGGGUGUGCAAGUGCUGUGUGUCACCUUGUGCAUGCAGCUCCUGUUGAGCUGAGCACCAGCAGUCCAUGCUCACAGUGCCCACAUGCAUGUGCUGUAUCCCAGCCAGGUUACACCUCAGCCCUGUGUUUCUAUCAGCCUGACCUUUUCAAGCUGUCUGUGGGCUGAUGGCUGCAAAGCUUGCAGGAUUUUCAGCCGUGGCAGUAAAUAGCUUCUCCUGAUAUGUUUGGAGAGAGUCAGCUUUGGCCUUUUGGAGAUAUGCUAUAAACAGCCGACAUGCCCUGCUCGCAGCAUCCUGAAUGGCUUUGCUGGCUUCUUCUGAAUCCUUGGGGGCAGACAGGAGUGAAAAUGUAAACCUGAGUGCUGACAGCCCCCUCUGUGCAUGGGAUCCUCCUGUCCCAAUGGCCCCACUAGUCACACCAGUUUGGGUGUUAAGUGCAACACGUCAGACCUGGAUGACAGCAGUCAGAUACUGUUUUCCUGUUGAUCCGGCUAUGGUUGAACAUGGAAGUAUAAGAAGUAACAACAGGAAGAGCUCUGGGUCUUUCUAUAGCGUGGUUUGUGGGGCAGCAGUUCUGCCAGGUCACCCCACAUGGUGAAACAAGCAGAGCCUGGUGUACCUGCAAAUGUUGCACCGCUCUGCGGAGACAACCACCCCCCAGUGCUCACUGCAGCUUUUCUAAUGGCAAGAGGGUGAAAAUAUCAUUCCUUCACUCCUAUUCAUUGCACAGGCUAUUACCCCGUGCUAUUGCAGCUCAUGUUACGGCUCCAACCUCCCGGUGUGCAGCCAAGACUUGUAUUAAAUCAUGAAUGGAUAUUAGGCAGGUGGGGUGAAAGCCAGGGCACCUCACAGCGUGCUCCUGUUGGUGCCAUUGCUGCUCUGCUGCUUCCUCCUGCACCCACUGCAGCUCUUCCUCCCCUGUGGGGCUGCAGAUCCCACAGAGCACCCAUGGGUGCUGCUGGUGCCCCUCAGUAUAGGACACCUGGCUCUCAGUAAGUGCAAAAAGCCCUGAAUCCUCAUUUAUUUCACCCAAUGAAAAGGACUUCAGGACUCAGGUUACUGCUGUUAAAUCGCUCCCUGUCCCAAAGCACAUUGCAGUCUCUAUCUAAACCUGAAACUUCCACCCUCCCUUUGGUAGCUGGGAAUGGCUCCUAGAUGUGAAAUAAUGAACUAAAAACCCCUCCAUGCAUUGACCAAAGGAAACGA